rnacentral:lncRNA from 1 species
AAUGUUACUUUUGAUCCUCUUAUAUGAAAAAAAACUAAGAUAAUUGAAGAAAAAAAUGUGUGAAGUAUGCAUAAGACUUGGCUAGAAGCCUCAUUGAAACAUAAAUUUGUAUACAUGUAUGAUGGUGUGUGACUAUGUGGAUGUGUUCCUAGUCCUCUAAUGGUGGUGGAUGAUGGAGGCCCACCGCAUGCACCAUUUCUACUCGGGAAGCAGCAAAAUGUGAAACAAUUUGGCAAGGUUGCCAACCCCAUGCACCACUUCCAAAUUCUCACCAAAAUGCCUUUUCUCUUAACGUCCUCCUUCUACUGUAUGACACCUAUUAAUUGAAAAAAUAACCAAAUCCCAGACAAGACAAGUUAGUCGCCGCAUCCAAAAUUUUAAAAACUUUCAUGGUCGCAGCAUGCAGCGAUGUUAGGUCUCUGCAGUCGCCUCAUGCAACUUUAAAAAAAUUUGCUUAAGUUUAAAAACCUACUGUUGAUCACAUUUGAUCAAUGGUCAAUCAUAUUUCGUCGCAUCCAUUUUGAAUGCGGCGUUCUGACACUUCCAAAAUUUUUUCUACGCCGAUUUGUUAUUUGCAGCAUUCACAAUUCAAAAAAAAAAAUUUUUUUGUGCAACUUUAAGAACCAACCACUGAUCAAAUUUGAUCAACGGUCAAUCAUGUCUCGCCGCAUCCAUUUUCGGAUGCUGCAUUUUGACAGACUGGAAGCAUUUUUUUUUUAAAAAAUUGUUAAGCUGCAUUCUAGCAUAAAAGAAAAAAGGCAAAAACAAAUUGGAUUUUCUGUAUGCCGAUUUUCUCAAUUGCAGCGACCCUUAUUUCAGAACACACUCCUACAGAACACCACUUUUCUGAUGUUUUGGUAUAUUAACAAUAUUUGGAGAAAUUCGCUGUCACUUGGAGUGGUGGAAUUUCUUUUUUCAGAUCAAAUUUUCAGAGACUUUUGUGUUUCAUGAUAAAAUUGUGUGGAUUACUCUCAAUUCUUUAGCUUACAAUAGCCAUGUGCUUUUACUGGAUAGACUUAAUUACUACUGUGAAUUCUAGGCAGUGCUAGCAACUCAGCAAACAUGAAUAAUUGGUUGGACAUAUGUGAAAUUUUUUUGACACCUCUAUCCUGUUUCCAAUGAUGAAUACGCAUGUUAGAAAGUCUCAGGAAAACAAUCAACUGGCCUUGUACCAAAAUGGACCCCCUACAUUGAGUUUUGCAUCAAUGUGAUGGCCAUGCAAUACAACCUGUAUUAAUGUGCCCAACCUGCAAUUGAAAUAGAAAUAUAAGUAGAUGAUCAGUGAGUCAUUGUGUACCAAUUUAGAUAUAGAACUAUGAAAGUGAUUAGACCAAAGUGUAUCACGUCAACAACCCCUCCCUUUCAACCAGAAGCAGAAUUUUGAAGCGAGCAUCUUGCAGAUGUCCUUUUCUUGUAGAAAGAUGUAUCAUGCUGGGAGUUGAUAAUCGUUUUCUUACCCUGGAUGAUUGAUUUUGUUUUUAACACAUAUAAGUUGCAUUUAGGGUGUCAAGUAUUUUAUGCGUUCUUUCAAAAUAUAAUAUGAUCUGCAAUCCUGGAAAUUGCAUGUAAAGAUGGCCCAUGAGCUUGUGAGACAUUAAGUUGGUAAAAACUUUGCAAGUGGCAGAUCCAGUAAAUGCUGUCUAUAGACUAUGGAUACGUAAUCUGAUGACAAGCUUACUCUUUGUUGUUGGUUAAAGCUUUAGGUCCUAAAUAUGGCCAAAAGUAGUGUUCCCUACAAACUUCCGCAGGGAGCUUGGAUUCAAACUUUAUCUCAAACUUCACUGAGGUAGAAGUUUUAAAAGCAAAGUCAGGCGAUAAAGUUAAAACUGCCUAUAAAGCUGAAGUAAGUACAGAACCCAUUAAAGACUUAAGAUUUAAUCUAAGCUAAUAGAAGUAUGUGGCAAUGAAGUGUACUUACACGUCUAUUACCUAUUUAUUAUAUGAUUUAGGUAUAGGAGAGUGCAGUCUGAAAACACAUGGUCAAUUUACUCUCAUUUGUUUCCUCUGAAAAGUAGGAUAGGCCUGACCCAUCAGAAACAGGUCAUAACUGAGAAGCAUCGGGAGCAUCUGGGGAAAUGAUUUUAAACUGAGAAAUGUUGGAUAGUGACAUAUAACAAUGUCCACGUGAAUUUUGGUCUUUAAACUUCUUUUGCCAGAAAGAUUUUAGUUCCCUGCCUAACAUUUUUCUUCAGUGGCUCACAAAAAAGAACAAUGAAUCUUGAAGAUUGAGAUCUGUACAGAGCUAAUAGUCUUUGAAAUUUAGAAUGCUCUCUGACCAUUGUCCCAGAUCCGAUAUCUUAUCAAUUCCUGAAUGUUAAGCAUUUCUGGUAUUGUCUUUUAUCAGAAUUCUUAUAAUGUUUUUGAGUUAAUGAUGACAGCUUGGAAGCUAAAGUAUUAAAAUAUUAACCAUACUUGAGCUUAGGCAGCUUGGAUGAAUGUGACCAUUUAUGUUUGACAAUCUCAAAUUUAAAUUAUAGGAAUGCAGAGAUAAUAUGAUCUUUAAGCUAGGAUGAUUGGUAGAAAUAUUCAUUUGCAAUUUAGUAAUUUUGCGUAUUUUUUCUCCAUUUGGCUGCCCAAAAUAGUAAUGUCAUGAUGAUAAUUUGCUCUUGCUGAUGAUGCAAAGGGACGUGACUGGUGCAUAGAUAAACCUCUUUUCAGUAAAUGUUUGUACUCACUAUACGCUCCUAUAAUAACAAACAUAGAAUCGUAGAACUUCUGAUUGAAGUCUUUGUUAUGUUAUUAUAUUUGGCGGACAAUUUGUUCAUUGAAGGUGGUCCCUUGCUGUCUUUUCUCCAUCAAUUAUGGAAUCCCUUGUCCUUUUUCUGUUUCUUUAGCUUUAGAGGGUGGAGGGGUGAUGGCCUGUGUACUUAGCAUGCAACUUUUCAAAAUUAACAUACUGCUGAUCAAACGUGAAAUUGUUGGAGUAUUUUAGUCUUUUAGAUUCAGCUUUGGCCAUGCUUUGAGUGGUACAUUUGGACAAUGCUACAUUUUACACAGGCAUGCAAUUUUGUCUAUUUACUUUAAGAUUUCAAUGAUAGAGUUUAAUCUAGAAUAGUCUUUUUACUCAUUUGUAAGAGCACAUGCAUAGCAUGCCAUGCACAUAAUAUGUGUUUGCAAUUGCUUCCACUUCCCUGCAAAUGGUAUGGAAGAAUGUACUAGUCAAGCAUUAGAUGCUUCAGUUAGAUUGAUUCUUCAUUUCUUCCUUAAAUGUUAAUUUCGAAUGGAUUUUUCAUGUUUUUCUUUUUAUGUCAUAUUUCUUCUUGGAAUUGCUGGAGUUCCAUGGUUGCAAUGGUAUUUGUGCAGGAAAAUGACCAAUUUCAUCGCUAAACUUUUUUACUAGUGCUGACUUAGUCCCUAACUUUUAUUCUUAGCCAAUUUGAUACAUUAACUCAUUUUGCAGUUCCAAUUAAGGAUCUCCGUGGCAGCACCACCACCUAAAAUCGAUCUGGCUCCUAAUUGACUAACUAAAUAGGGGUUAUGUUGGGAACGCCACAAAUGGGACUGUAAUAAAUCAACUAAAUCGUAUAAAAAACCACGAGUAAACUUUAAAAAUGUUUAUCUGGUGAUUUUUUACACAAUUUAAAAGUUUUAUCUGGUGGUUUUUUAUACGAUUUACUUGUUUUAUUAUAGUCUCGUAAGUGACAUUUCCAUAAUACCCCUAUUUAAUUAGUCAAUUAGGAAAAAGAUUGGUUUUAGGUAGUGGUGCCACUGCGAAGGUCCUUAAUUGGAAUUGCAAAAUAAAUUCAAGUAUCAAAUUGGUAAGAAACGAAAUUUAGGGACAACAUUGGCAUUAGGAAAAAAAGUUUAGGGACGAAAUUGGCCAUUUUCCCCAAGUAUACUACUCAAAGCUGCUGCUUGGCCAUUCUCAUGUUGGAUACUACUUGUUCAGGCAUGCAAAAAGCUCAACAAAAUUGAGCUCUCAGAUUGCGAGAUGUAUGCUUCUUGUGAGCCUUGCCCCAUGUGCUUUGGUGCAAUCCACCUUUCUAGAAUUAAGGUUCUUUUCUCUUUUCAUGUCAUCUUUCCUGGUGGGUUCAUGAUUUACAUUUAGGCCCU